AUUGAACGCUGGCGGCAGGCUUAACACAUGCAAGUCGAGCGGGGUGAUGGUGCUUGCACUAUCACUUAGCGGCGGACGGGUGAGUAAUGCUUAGGAAUCUGCCUAUUAGUGGGGGACAACAUCUCGAAAGGGAUGCUAAUACCGCAUACGUCCUACGGGAGAAAGCAGGGGAUCACUUGUGACCUUGCGCUAAUAGAUGAGCCUAAGUCGGAUUAGCUAGUUGGUGGGGUAAAGGCCUACCAAGGCGACGAUCUGUAGCGGGUCUGAGAGGAUGAUACGCCACACUGGGACUGAGACACGGCCCAGACUCCUACGGGAGGCAGCAGUGGGGAAUAUUGGACAAUGGGGGGAACCCUGAUCCAGCCAUGCCGGGUGUGUGAAGAAGGCCUUAUGGUUGUAAAGCACUUUAAGCGAGGAGGAGGCUCUUUUGGUUAAUACCCAAGAUGAGUGGACGUUACUCGCAGAAUAAGCACCGGCUAACUCUGUGCCAGCAGCCGCAGUAA
rnacentral:rRNA from 1 species